rnacentral:rRNA from 1 species
ACGGGAGGCAGCAGUGGGGGAUAUUGCACAAUGGGGGAAACCCUGAUGCAGCGACGCCGCGUGAGUGAUGAAGUAUUUCGGUAUGUAAAGCUCUAUCAGCAGGGAAGAUAAUGACGGUACCUGACUAAGAAGCACCGGCUAAAUACGUGCCAGCAGCCGCGGUAAUACGUAGGGUGCAAGCGUUAUCCGGAUUUACUGGGUGUAAAGGGAGCGUAGACGGCAAGGCAAGCCAGAUGUGAAAGGCUGGGGCUCAACCCCGGGACUGCAUUUGGAACUGUCUAGCUAGAGUAUCGGAGAGGUAAGUGGAAUUCCUAGUGUAGCGGUGAAAUGCGUAGAUAUUAGGAGGAACACCAGUGGCGAAGGCGGCUUACUGGACGAUAACUGACGUUGAGGCUCGAAAGCGUGGGGAGCAAACAGGAUUAGAUACCCUGGUA